rnacentral:lncRNA from 1 species
UCUGCUAAGAUUUUCUUUUUCAGCUUAAAAAAAAAAAAAAAAAUCCCUGAGUUCCCUUUAGCUCAGGGAUUAACGAACCCGACUAGGAUCCAUGAGGAUGUGGGUUCGAUCCCUGGCUCGCUCUAUGGGUUAAGGAUCCAGCAUUGCCGUGAGCUAUGGUGUAGGUCGAAGACACGCUUGGAUCCUGUGUGGCUGUGGCUGCAGUGUAGGCCAGCAGCUGUAUCUCCGAUUCAACCCCUAGCCCAGGAACAUCCAUAUGCCGCAGAAAAGUGCCAGAGCCAUCCACACAGGAAACGAACUGUGUUCACGAAGAAACAAUUGGCGGAUAUGAACUUAUUUUUCAAUACAAACCCAUACCCCACGCCCAGCCUUCAGAGAGAAAUGGCCUCAAAAAUGGAAAUGCAUCCAAGAGCCCUGCAGGUCAGAAAAUCAGGCCCCUCUCACGGAGCCACCCCCUGGAAGGACCCCAGAAUAAUUCCUGAAGCUUGAUACCACUCCUUCCCGACACUCCAAAGACCCAGACCCCAACCCUACCCUCUUAUCCUCCCUCCUAACCCCUAGAGCAAGGGUCAGCAAACUCUUUCUGUAAAGGACCUCGUGGUAAAUAUUUGUCAGCCAUUCUGUCUCUGCUGUGAUAAUGUAAAGCAGCCGUGACAACGUGUAGAUAAACAGGUGUGUCUGCGGUUCCAUAAAAUUUUAUGGACACAUGUUUGAAGUUCAUAGAAUAUUGGUGUGUCACAAGGUAUUAUUCUUAUUGUGUUUCGCUUUUGGUUUCUUUUGGGGGGUGGGGGGUGGGGUGGCUGCACCCGGGACAUGGGGAAGUUUCCAGGCUGGGG